rnacentral:tRNA from 1 species
GUUGUCGCUCAGUGGUAGAGCGCUUGCCUAGCACUUGUGAGGCACUGGGUUCGAUCCUCAGCACAACA